GCAGUUGGUACUGCAGCAAUGUUAGCAGCUCCCCAAGCAGCUGCAGUUGGUAUUGCAGGCCAUGUGAGCAGCUCCUCUAGCAGCUGCAGUUGGUAUUGCAGGCGAUGUGAGCAGCACUCCUGGCAGCUGCAGUUGGUAUUGCAGGCUAUGUGAGCAGCUCCUUCUAGCAGCUGCAGUUGGUACUGCAGCAAUGUUAGCAGCUCCUCUAGCAGCUGCAGUUGGUACUGCAAGCAAUGUGAGCAGCUCUCCUGGCUGCUGCAGUUGGUACUGCAGGCAAUGUGAGCAGCUCCCCAUGCAGCUGCUGUUGGUACUGCAGGCAAUGUGAGCAGCACUCCUGGCUGCUGCAGUUGGUACUGCAGGCGGUGUGAGCAGCUCCCCAAGCAGCUGCAGUUGGUACUGCAGGCAGGUCCACCAGGUCUGACUAACUCUUUGUGUGCUCCUCUGCAUGUCCAGGGUUCAGGUCUUGUUUCAGUUGUAAGUAAUGAUGACUAAUCAGUCUACUCUAUGGAAGCUUACACAGGGCUUCCGAUCUCGGUCAAGGUGUUGCUUUUUGUACUGUCUCAUUGUUUGAAAUCUCUUAAAGAUUGAGUCAGUAAUCUAGUUUGAUUAUUGUAGCACUACAGAAAUAAGCACAACGUGAAAAUGAGAUGGCAUGAUCAGAAGGAACCAGAGCAGCUAACUUAAGAGGAAUUUUGCAAGAUGAACAGAAAGAACAAAAUUUUUACUUGAGCAAACCUUGAACAAAAGGUCAGUCAGUUACAUUUUUUAAAGAAGCCUUCACCAGAGGCUAACCUUGACCUUUGACCUUCUGUACAGCUGACCUUGGACACGCUGAGUGGCACCUGACCUUUAACCUUUCUCUACAUGUGACUCCGACAUAUGCCAUGUUUCUAAAUACUAAAUAUUAGGAUAUAGACUAGGCAAGAUGUGGAUAUAUAUAUAAAUAUUAUAUAUAUAUAUAUAAAUGUACAUAUUAGACAUAUUAGAUAUAAGUUCAUGCAAUAGCAAAGAUGCUUGCCCCCCUCCCGCUGCACUCAAGAGCUUCUAGGCCACUCCAAUGCACUUCCCUGGUUCUCGGGCGUUUGCCUGUAAAAUGUUGCCUGUAUCCACUCAGAAACUGUGAGCACUAAAGGUACAGAUUUACAGAAGCUGUGAUUUACAGAAACUGUGAGCACUAAAGGUACAGAUUUACAGAAACUGUGAGCACUAAAGGUACAGAUGUACAAAAACUGUGUGCACUAAAGGUACACUGAUGUACAAAAACUGCUCGUACCAAGGCUACAGACUCACCAAAACUGCUCGUACCAAGGGUACAGAUGUAAAGAAAGUGUGCACCCAACGUUACCUACUCACAGGUGCUGUGCACAACUAAACUACAGACUCACAGAAAUUGUUUGUACCAAAGGUACCUAUUUUCCUCUCAGACCCAGUUGGGUUGUUUGAGUUUGGCUUUAUUUCUUAUGUCCGGGAACCAGGGAGGUGAAUUUGUGUGGCCCGUCACGCAAUAUCUAAGGCAUGCUGCAAUGGCACAGCCGCCAGCUGUCACAAGGUGAAAUAUAUGAUGUACAUUGUCAAUAGUACCGACUUUCCUCCUCCGCACAGAAAGCCAUUAUUAGUCAGUUUCCAUGGAAACUGGGUGAAAUAUUGUAUUUUAGGUUUUUACUUGAAUUAGGAUAAUUUCAGGUUUGCAUCAUGUAUAUAGCAAGGCCGAAAUGUUCACAGAAGUGACAGAAAAAAGAAUGUUUUGGUUUUUGUUUUAGAAACUUUCUUAACGUUGCAGGAAACAGUAAGUAAAACUCAAGGAUUUUUCUUGUUCCGUCCAAGUUUGCAGCUGAACCAAGAAGAGCUGAAAUUCAAAUUUAGCAUUUUUAUAUUUUGACGAAUAUGAUUUGAAUGUAUUUUAUAAGGUGUGUUUCCCUAAUGAGUGUGUUUUAAGCUUAGAGAAGAAAUUUGUGUGCUUUUUUUACUAGAUUGUGUGUUUAAACCAUGUGGAAAUUUCUUUGAAUUAGUUUUUGAUUACUUACAGCGACAAAAGACAUCAGUGAAAAUUUAGUUUCGUUUUUUCAUACUUUUUA